rnacentral:rRNA from 1 species
CAGCAGCCGCGGUAAUACCGGCGGCCCGAGUGGCGGUCACUAUUAUUGGGGUUAAAGCGUCCGUAGCCGGGUUGGGGAGUCCUCCGGGAAAUCUGGCCGCUUAACGGUCCGAAUGCCGGAGGAUACUCCCAGCCUAGGGAGCGGGAGAGGCCGAGGGUAUUCCCGGGGUAGGGGGGAAAUUCUAUAAUCCCGGGAGGACCACCUGUGGCGAAGGCGCUCGGCUGGAACGCGUCCGACGGUGAGGGACGAAGGCCAGGGGAGCAAACCGGAUUAGAUACCCGGGUAGUCCUGGCUGUAAACGAUGCGGACUUUGUGUCGGACAAGCUAUGAGCUUGUCCGGUGCCGGAGGGAAACCGUUAAGUCCGCCGCCUGGGGAGUACGGCCGCAAGGCUGAAACUUAAAGGAAUUGGCGGG